UGGAGUGAGACCCCAUCUCUAAAUAUUUUUUUUAAAAAAGAAUGUGGAGGAACUUGAGCUGAUAAGAUCCCCUGCAUCAGGCCCUAAGACACUGCCUUGCAGUGCUGCCGUUCCUCGCUGGCCUGGCUCCCGAGUCAAGACGAGGCUGCCUCACUAAUGAGAUACCAUGAUUUGUAUCACGCAAAGCCCACGGCUUACGGAGAGCACGUGAAGGCAGUGUCGGCGGCAGGGUGACCACAUCCUCUGGCAGGCAGCCUGGGAAGGGAGGUUUGAAUCUGUGUUAUUUUAGCACUGAUUAAAGGUGGAUGUACAAUUUUACCUUUUAAAUUUAAAGACAGUUUGUACUCUAUCAACACCUUGUCUUAUUAUAGUUGCAAACCAUGAGAAGGCAAGUUAAGAAGGAGACGUCGCAAAAGUAAUUAUACAAUUUCCUUACAUGGUAUAAAAUGGUACAAAUAGCAAGUCCCAUCAGCUUCACAGCCCUCGACUGACCAAAUGGCAUCCCCCAACCAAUGCUGCUGGCAGGAGCUUCAGCUGCCUCUGGCUUAAUGACGUCUGCCUUUCUAGUGAGAAUGUAGCUGGUGUGGAUAUCUCUGUUUCACAGUGAUGAUUUGGGCCGAGUGCUCAUGUCAAAUAGGCACCUGGUUCCAGUGGUUUGUGGGGUUUAACGAUGCAUUUUUAAAAUGAAGCCGUGCCAGCGCCAGCCCGUGCUUCCCCGCAGAACACUGCUGCUGUUCUGUCCUGGCUUGGAAGGUGCCCUGGUGUGGGAGCCGUCCUGGUGUGGGAGGUGCCCUGGGGUGGGAGCUGUCCUGGCGUGGGAGGUGCCCUGGGGUGGGAGGUGCCCUGGGGUGGGAGCUGUCCUGGCGCGGGAGGUGUCCUGGCAUGAGAGCUGCCCUGGCGUGGGAGCUGCCCUGGCAUGGGAGCUGCCCUGGCGUGGGAGCUGCCCUGGCGUGGGAGAUGCCCUGGUGUGGGAGGCGUGGCAGAGGUGCUGGGCCUGGGCCUCCUAUGCUCUGCACCAUACCCUUGGCUGCCUUGAGCAUGAGCACCCCAUGGGGAGAGUGAGCUCAGUGCCCGGCGGGCCCCACGGCAGUCACGUGCAUCAUGUCUUGGCUUUCUGCUUCCUGUUGAAGGAGUGACGGGGACAGCGAGGGAUGGAGUCCCCACACUCCAGCCUGCCCU